GACGAACGCUGGCGGCGUGCUUAACACAUGCAAGUCGAACGGAAAGGCCCUGCUUUUGUGGGGUGCUCGAGUGGCGAACGGGUGAGUAACACGUGAGUAACCUGCCCUUGACUGUGGGAUAACUUCAGGAAACUGGGGCUAAUACCGGAUAGGAGCUCCUGCUGCAUGGUGGGGGUUGGAAAGUUUCGGCGGUUGGGGAUGGACUCGCGGCUUAUCAGCUUGUUGGUGGGGUAGUGGCUUACCAAGGCUUUGACGGGUAGCCGGCCUGAGAGGGUGACCAGCCACAUUGGGCCUGAGAUACGGCCCAGACUCCUACGGGAGGCAGCAGUGGGGAAUAUUGCACAAUGGGCGGAAGUCUGAUGCGGCGACGCCGCGUGCGGGAUGACGGCCUUCGGGUUGUAAACCGCUUUCGCCUGUGACGAAGCGUGAGUGACGGUAAUGGGUAAAGAAGCACCGGCUAACUACGUG
rnacentral:rRNA from 1 species